AGUCAUUUUGCCACUAAACAAUAAAAGAGAGAGAGGUUGAGAGAAAUCCAAGAAACAACUGAUGAUAGCUUGCAAAGUUCGCCAGACUAGGUUUCCAGCGAUUCUUGUCAAGAAGAAAUCAUUUGAGAAGGGGAAGGCAGGUUUGGAAAACUAUGCCAGGAGCCAAAGGGAGUCUCCCUGGAGCUAUUCUGAUCUUUCCAGGUGAGUAAAAAAAUGGAGAGAGGAGAAGACAGAGCGGGGGGAGAGAAAGACAGACACCUGCAGACUUGUUUCACCGCUUGUGAAGCAACCCCCUUGCAGGAGGAGAGCCAGGAACCGGGAUCCUUGUGCAGCCACCAGGUUCCAGAUGCUAGCAGGAUGCCGACCAGACUUCCCUGGACAGACGACCCCACCAAUGUGACUUGGAGCUCUGCUUCCCCAAAGCCCUUCCCCACUAGGGAAAGAGAGAGACAGGCUGGGAGUAUGGAUCGACCUGUCAAUGCUCAUGCUCAGCGGGGAAGCAAUCACAGAAGCCAGACCUUCCACCUUCUGCAUCCCACACUGACCUUGGGUCCAUACUCCCAUAGGGAUAAAGAAUAGGAAAGCUAUCAGGGCAGGGGAUGGGAUACGGAGUUCUGGUGGUGGGAACUGUGCAAAGCUGUACCCUUGUUAUCCUAUGGUUUUGUCAAUGUUUCC